rnacentral:lncRNA from 1 species
GUAGGCUAGAGAGGGAGGCCUGGCUAAGGCUUAUUCACUUGUGGUCCUUCUUCCUGAGAUAGGGAAUGGCCCUGAGAGGUUGUAGAAUGGAGGCCUCCCUAAGUCUCCCCAGCAAUGCACUCUAGCCUUGUUCUGCACAGCAGUCAGGGCAGAACUGCACACGUGUGGUAUGAAAUGAUGAGAUACUCAUGCCUCCAGGAAAGGGCAAGUCGACCUAUUGGGCGGGCAGCAGCUGAGUGAGGUACAAAAGCUGCCAGCUGAGGAACCGGGUAAGGCCAUGCUUCAACUACAAGAUCGAAAAGCAAGACAGACAUCCGGGGAGGCCAAGUUCAACCCGGAACUGGACCCUUAGGAAUUGCUUCUUUUUUAAAACCCCAAAGUGGAAUUCUCAUUUCUCCAAGAUGACUUAUAGGCCUUCAGAGAAAUCUGGACGGACACCCCGAGUGCUGAGACCAUAAAGGCAGGACACUCUUGGGGGACAGGGUGUUCUCGCUGCACCCCUUAAAACUUUCCAGCCUGCCCUCUGGAGAUCAAAUCUUUAAUAAACAUUUACCAC